AAAAGAGGCACCGUUUUAUUUGUUGGAAAAUAAACUUCUAGACCUAUCCAUCCAUACAUGGCACGACUUCUAGUUCAUUCUAAGUUGGUAUAGGUGUCUUCGUGGGGUUACCCCAAAAUCCUGGACUGCAACUUUUAUUUUCGACUUCUAUCCUUUGGCUUGGGCUUGUGGGCUUAUUGGACUGGGUUGUUGGCCCAUUUGAAAAUGCUCCUGCAUCAUACGAUUCUCCUGUGCAUAAACUCGUCUCUGAGUUUUUUAGAUUCUCUUCUUUAUGAUAGGGAGAAAGGUCAUGACGUCCUUGUGCGCCACCAGGAUCAUAUGGGAAUAACAUAGCAUCUCCAUUUGAUGUGUUGAAUGCCCAAAACUGACCGUGCAAUUGGGUCACAGGGAACUUUUCUUCAGAUCAUACCGCCUUCUCUCCAGCAGUACACGACAUAGGUAUGAUCUUUGGACCUAUUUUUUUGGGAAAAUAUUUUCUUUCUGUUGCCUAAUCUCGUUCUGCUGGAAAAUAGAGAGAAAUAGAGGUCUAGAGGGUUUAUUGUGGAUGCGGUGGAGUGAUUAAUUUGGAAUUCCCAGUCGCUUUUCUGGAGAAUUUGGAGGUACUCCAAUUCUUGUUUUCCUGGUAAUUGUUAUUAUUCUCUUUAACCGAAUGUAGUCAUCCCCAUGGCCCUAGACAGGCCAUAAGCUAAAGGUGGUCAAGGCUAUUGCCCAUGGCUGUGUUCAGGCAGCCAAACCAAAGAACUGGCACACGACAAAACUGCUAGAACAAAAAGGGUUAUAACCCCUGAUAACCCCUAAUCUGAUUACAUGAGAUGUUCAAAUUUACCAAGCAACAAGAGGGCAGCCCAGUCGAUGAAACACUCGAUGCUGGGAUCACAUCCUAAAAUGGACAGAAGAGCCAAUUUCCUCAAUUCUUGUAUCUUCUUUUAGGCUUUUAAUUAACCAUCCUUCUAAAGGAAAAAUUGAAAUGAAAAUUGGCUUUACUCAGAAUGUAUACCGGUAGAUGGCAUCAGCAACACCAUGCUCAUCGAUCAUUGUUGCAACCAAUUACAUUAGCCACAGAUUUUGCCUUUUCUGAUCCAUUACUGAGAGCAACACCCAGAGAAGCCAGCUCAAGCAUCUCAACGCCAUCUUCCCCAGUCCCCAUCACCAAUAGCCAUUACCUAAUCAGAUUUAGCAUAGGAAAGUGAGUUCACCAAACUCGUAGGAUAAAUACACACAAGUGAUUAGUCCAUCUUCUAUAUUGACAAAAUAUCUCUCCAUUUUGGGUACAGCCAAGAGACUAAUUGUCUUGAGUAUGCAAAAAUCAUGUUUAGAAUCAAUAUAUGAGAUGAGCCAUAAUAAUUCUCUUUUUCGAACAUUUUUGGGUAGAAUGUUGGUAGUGUUCUGCAUGAGCUGACAGGUCAGUGGAAUUCAAGUGAGAUGACAGGGGUCUUUGGGUUUUGAAUUUCUUCGUUGAGGAUUGAAGAAAGUUCUGGGAAAUAUGGGGACAAAAUGGAGGAUAUGUAGUUUAGAUUCUGAACUUCUCUGUUGGCCCUUCUCUGAGAUUUCUGAGUGGGAAUCUCUCUCAAUACCCCCUCCCCCCCCCCCCCCAAAAAAAAAAAAAAAAUCAGGUUUCUUGCAAGUUUGAGGCUUUCUUGCUUUGUGAGGUAGUUGGACAUUCAAGCAAGAUGGAAGCCAUUAUUUGUUUCUCUCGGCCUCUGUUUUCUUUUUUUGAUUAGUGUACAAGGUCAGCUUCUUUUGUGUUUUUUGUUUUUCUUCUACUCUAUCCUAUGCUAUGGGGGGAGGGAAGGUGAGAACCAGGAGACCCAAGACCUUUCAGUUUCAUUUCUUCGCUCACAAUUAUGUGAAUUCUACAUCUUGUUUAUGAUCUUGUAGCUAAUAUUGUGAUGUUGUGAAAUUAUUUCUUUGAGACACCAAGGUUAAUAUACUUGUGUACAUACUGAAGUUCCAUCUAUCUUGAUGAAGUAAAUGAAUAGAGACUUGUCUCUGUUUAAACCCCAGGGGCAAUCGAGUUGGCAAGGUACCUUCGCCUCAAGAAGCGUGUGGUUUUGAGUUCGACUCCUCUUACCUCCUUGGAGCCACUCAUACCGGGGUGUUUAGUGCUCUUCCCUGCUUUCGGUGAGAGUUGAAUGGUUCUCAUUCAAGCACGGUAUGACCCGGUCCAUGCGGUUGUGGGGUCAGUAUGGGCCUACAAGUCUAGUCAAGCCGAAGGCUUGGAUACCCAUCUUUGGCACACCAAAAAAAAAACUGGUCUCUGUUAAAAUGAAAGUACAAUUGGAAUGUCCCAGUUCAAGGGACAAAGCCAUAGGAUAUUUGAUAAUAACUCUUGCUCAUGGAAAGAGUUUUCAGUCUCUUUCCAUUAUCUUCAAUCUUUUCAGGCUUCAUUGGUUUCAUUUUUAUGUCAUAAUUUUGCAAAUCAUAUUCUGAUUAGCUUUUGUUUCCAGUUCUUAUGUGGUUGUGCUUUGUUACCCUCCUUUUUCUUUUAAAAAAAAUUGUUUACCAUAUACAACACAUGCUUUAAGCUUUACAGUUUUGCGUAAUGGUAAUGCAUGCUCGGAAAGAGAUGGUACGAUAAUGGUUUGUGACAUUGCAUUAACUUAGACUGUUUUUUGGGAUGAUCGUCCCCAGCAUUUUUUCACAUUCAUAGAUAUCAUGCAAAGAAGACUUGAUCUGCUGGUUGUGCUGCUUUUGAUCUCAAGCAGAAGCAGAAACAGUGUCUCAAACUAGACUGAUGUUGACCCCUAUGUUCCAAGUAGGACUUCCUGUGUCUCCCUCUGGAAACUUAAUGCUGAGAAAUGUUCCACCAGUGAAGGCUUUUUCAUCAGUGCUUUAACCUGAAAUGGACUUCCCAAUUGUCAUUGAUGUCAAUGAUUCAUUCAAUUGAAAAUAGCAUUCUUGUAGUUUUAUGAAAUUCAACUCACUUAAAAGAUGUGAAAUUCUAUAGAAAUAAGAAAUAAGAAGUGGUGUUCUUGUA